rnacentral:rRNA from 1 species
UACGUAGGGUGCAAGCGUUGUCCGGAAUUACUGGGCGUAAAGAGCUCGUAGGUGGUUUGUCGCGUUGUUCGUGAAAACCCACAGCUCAACUGUGGGCUUGCGGUCGAUACGGGCAGGCUAGAGUUCGGUAGGGGAGACUGGAAUUCCUGGUGUAGCGGUGAAAUGCGCAGGAUAUCAGGAGGAACACCGGUGGCGAAGGCGGGUCUCUGGGCCGAUACUGACGCUGAGGAGCGAAAGCGUGGGGAGCGAACAGGA